rnacentral:rRNA from 1 species
UACGGGGGGGCAAGCGUUGUUCGGAAUUACUGGGCGUAAAGGGCUCGUAGGCGGCCAACUAAGUCAGACGUGAAAUCCCUCGGCUUAACCGGGGAACUGCGUCUGAUACUGGAUGGCUAGAGGUUGGGAGAGGGAUGCGGAAUUCCAGGUGUAGCGGUGAAAUGCGUAGAUAUCUGGAGGAACACCUGUGGUGUAGACAGCUUCUGGACCACUUCUGACGCUGAGACACGAAAGCGUGGGUAGCAAACAGG